rnacentral:tRNA from 1 species
UCCCAUGUGGCUCAGAUGGUUAAGCAUCUGUCUGCAAUGUAGGAGACCCAGGUUCAAUCUCUGGGUUGGGAA